AGCAGCCGCGGUAAUUCCAGCUCCAAUAGCGUAUAUUAAAGUUGUUGCAGUUAAAAAGCUCGUAGUUGAAUUUCGGGAUCAGUACGCUGGUCGUGCCUUUGGUAUGUACUGGUGUCACUGAUUCCUCCCUUCUGAAGAACCGUUAUGCCAUUUAUUUGGUGUGGCGGGGAAUCAGGACUGUUACUUUGAAAAAAUUAGAGUGUUUAAAGCAGGCUCGCGCUUGAAUACAUUAGCAUGGAAUAAUGAAAUAGGACGUUUGAUUUUAUUUUGUUGGUUUCUAGGAUCGACGUAAUGAUUAAUAGGGAUAGUUGGGGGCAUUAGUAUUCAAUUGUCAGAGGUGAAAUUCUUGGAUUUAUUGAAGACUAACUACUGCGAAAGCAUUUGCCAAGGAUGUUUUCAUUAAUCAAGAACGAAAGUUAGGGGAUCGAAGACGAUCAGAUACCGUCGUAG
rnacentral:rRNA from 1 species